CCUACGGGACGCAGCAGUGGGGAAUAUUGCACAAUGGGGGAAACCCUGAUGCAGCAACGCCGCGUGAAGGAAGACGGUUUUCGGAUUGUAAACUUCUUUUCUUAGUGAAGAAGCAAGUGACGGUAGCUAAGGAAGCACCGGCUAACUCCGUGCCAGCAGCCGCGGUAAUACGGAGGGUGCGAGCGUUAAUCGGAAUUACUGGGCGUAAAGCGCACGUAGGCUGUUGUGUAAGUCAGGGGUGAAAUCCCACGGCUCAACCGUGGAACUGCCCUUGAUACUGCAUGACUGGAAUCCGGGAGAGGGUG
rnacentral:rRNA from 1 species